rnacentral:rRNA from 1 species
CUUGUCUAUUAAUUGUAGACCUGUAUGAAAGGCAAAACGAGGGCCUAUCUGUCUCUUGUAGUAAAUCAAUUAAACUGAUCUCCCAGUCCAAAAGCUGGGAUACCAACAUAAGACCAGAAGACCCUGUGAAGCUUAAACUAAACUAUUAAAUCCUAUAAUAGCUCCUUUCGGUUGGGGCGACCCUGGAAAAAAAAAGAACUUCCAAACAUACUGACUUUAUACUCACCAACCCAGGCCAACAAGCCUAACAACGACCCAGCACAGCUGAUAACUGAACCAAGUUACUCCAGGGAUAACAGCGCUAUCUUCUUCAAGAGCCCAUAUCAAAAAGAAGGUUUACGACCUCGAUGUUGGAUCAGGACAUCCUAAUGGUGCAGCCGCUAUUAAGGGUUCGUUUGUUCAACGAUUAACAGU